UUGAGUCGUGUGGUAGCGGAGCGUCGAGCGUGCAGCGAAGCGGCGGGACAACCCAGCCGUGGAGCGCGUUCAGUGCGAAUGUUGGCAUGAGUAGCGAAUGAGGGGUGGGAACCCCCUCCGCCGUAUGUCCAAGGGUUCCUGGGCGAGGCCAAUCCUCCCAGGGUGAGUCGGGAGCUGAGGCGAGGCCGAGAGGCGUAGUCGAUGCACAACAGGUUGAUAUUCCAGUACCACCAUGUUCGCGUCCGUCCCAAUACUCUGUUGCUAAGGGGCUGUGUUGACUUCGGUCAACGCGAACCGACCCACAUUGUUGCGGGAAGCUGUAGGGGGACGCAGGAAGGUAGAUGAACCCGGUGAAUGGUAGAACCGGGGUAAGCGUGUAGGAGGAGGACCAGGUAAAUCCGGGCCUCAUAAACCCUGAGACGUGAUACCGAGCCGCUUCAGGCGAAGUCAUUGAUCCUAUGCUGCCUAGAAAAGCCCAGCAGCGAGUUGACAUGGUGCCCGUACCCCAAACCAACACAGGUGGACAGGUAGAGCAUACCAAGGCGAGUGGGAUAACUAUGGUUAAGGAACUCGGCAAAUUGCCUCCGUAACUUCGGGAGAAGGAGGACCCCAGUAGCGUGAUGAGACUUGCUCUCUGAGCGUGAAGGGGUGGCACAAAAUUGAGGGAAGCGACUGUUUACCAAAAACACAGCAGCGUGCUAAGCCGUAAGGCGCUGUAUACGCUGUGACUCCUGCCCGGUGCUGGAAGGUUACGGGGAUGGGUUAGUCCUUCGGGACGAAGCUCUGAACCUAAGCCCCAGUAAACGGCGGCCGUAACUAUAACGGUCCUAAGGUAGCGAAAUUCCUUGUCGGGUAAGUUCCGACCUGCACGAAUGGAGUAACGACUUCCCUACUGUCUCAACCAUAGACCCAGCGAAAUUGAAGUACGAGUAAAGAUGCUCGUUAGCUGCAGAAGGACGGAAAGACCCCGUGGACCUUUACUAUAACUUGAUGUUGUGUUUUGUCAUAUGUUGUGUAGGAUAGGUGGGAGACUUGGAAGCAUGGACGCUAGUCUGAGUGGAGUCAUCGUUGAAAUACCACCCUGCAUAUGGUGAGGCUCUAACCUAGACCCGUUAUCCGGGUUGGGGACAGCGUCAGGCGGGUAGUUUAACUGGGGCGGUUGCCUCCUAAAGAGUAACGGAGGCGCCCAAAGGUUCCCUCAGCCUGGUUGGCAAUCAGGCGUUGAGUGCAAUGGCAAAAGGGAGCUUGACUGCGAGACCUACAAGUCGAGCAGGAGCGAAAGCUGGGCAUAGUGAUCCGGCGGUUGCGUGUGGAAGCGCCGUCGCUCAACGGAUAAAAGGUACCCCGGGGAUAACAGGCUAAUCUUGCCCAAGCGUCCAUAGCGACGGCAAGGUUUGGCACCUCGAUGUCGGCUCAUCGCAUCCUGGGGCUGAAGCAGGUCCCAAGGGUUGGGCUGUUCGCCCAUUAAAGCGGUACGCGAGCUGGGUUCAGAACGUCGUGAGACAGUUCGGUCCCUAUCCUCUGCAGCCGGAGGUGAAUUGAGGAAAGCUGUCCCUAGUACC
rnacentral:rRNA from 1 species